GACGAACGCUGGCGGCGUGCUUAACACAUGCAAGUCGAACGGUAAGGCCCCUUCGGGGGUCCACGAGUGGCGAACGGGUGAGUAACACGUGAGCAACCUGCCCUUGACUCUGGAAUAACAGUUGGAAACAGCUGCUAAUACUGGAUAUUCAUCGUCUCCUUCCUGGGGGGUGGUGGAAAGCUCCGGCGGUCAGGGAUGGGCUCGCGGCCUAUCAGCUUGUUGGUGAGGUAAUGGCUCACCAAGGCUUCGACGGGUAGCCGGCCUGAGAGGGCGACCGGCCACACUGGGACUGAGAUACGGCCCAGACUCCUACGGGAGGCAGCAGUGGGGAAUAUUGCACAAGGGGCGCAAGCCUGAUGCAGAAACGCCGCGUGCGGGAUGACGGCUUUCGGGUUGUAAACCGCUUUCAGUAGGGACGAAGGGUGACUGACGGUACCUACAGAAGAAGGACCGGCUAACUACGUG
rnacentral:rRNA from 1 species